UGGGGAAUAUUGCACAAUGGGCGCAAGCCUGAUGCAGCCAUGCCGCGUGUGUGAAGAAGGCCUUCGGGUUGUAAAGCACUUUCAGUAAGGAGGAAAGGUUAAGUGUUAAUAGCACUUAGCUGUGACGUUACUUACAGAAGAAGCACCGGCUAACUCCGUGCCAGCAGCCGCGGUAAUACGGAGGGUGCGAGCGUUAAUCGGAAUUACUGGGCGUAAAGCGUACGCAGGCGGUUUGUUAAGCGAGAUGUGAAAGCCCCGGGCUCAACCUGGGAACUGCAUUUCGAACUGGCAAACUAGAGUGUGAUAGAGGGUGGUAGAAUUUCAGGUGUAGCGGUGAAAUGCGUAGAGAUCUGAAGGAAUACCGAUGGCGAAGGCAGCCACCUGGGUCAACACUGACGCUCAUGUACGAAAGCGUGGGGAGCAAACAGG
rnacentral:rRNA from 2 species